UACAGAGGGUGCAAACGUUGCUCGGAAUUACUGGGCGUAAAGCGCACGUAGGCGGAUUGUUAAGUCGGGGGUGAAAUCCUGGAGCUCAACUCCAGAACUGCCUUCGAUACUGGCGAUCUCGAGUUCGGGAGAGGUGAGUGGAACUGCGAGUGUAGAGGUGAAAUUCGUAGAUAUUCGCAAGAACACCAGUGGCGAAGGCGGCUCACUGGCCCGAUACUGACGCUGAGGUGCGAAAGCGUGGGGAGCAAACAGG
rnacentral:rRNA from 1 species